rnacentral:rRNA from 1 species
UACGGAGGGUGCGAGCGUUGUCCGGAAUCACUGGGCGUAAAGGGCGCGUAGGCGGCGCGGAUAGUCGGCGGUGAAAGCCCGGGAGCUCAACUCCGGGUCGGCCGUCGAUACUUCCGGGCUUGAGCACUGUAGAGGCAGAUGGAAUUCCGGGUGGUAGCGGUGGAAUGCGUAGAGAUCCGGAAGAACACCGGUGGCGAAGGCGGUCUGCUGGGCAGUUGCUGACGCUGAUGCGCGACAGCGUGGGGGAGCAAACAGG